rnacentral:rRNA from 1 species
UGACCGCUGGCGGCGUGCCUCCUACAUGCAAGUCGAGCGACCGGACGAGAAGCUUGCUUCUCUGAUGUUAGCGGCGGACGGGUGAGUAACACGUGGAUAACCUACCUAUAAGACUGGGAUAACUUCGGGAAACCGGAGCUAAUACCGGAUAAUAUUUUGAACCGCAUGGUUCAAAAGUGAAAGACGGUCUUGCUGUCACUUAUAGAUGGAUCCGCGCUGCAUUAGCUAGUUGGUAAGGUAACGGCUUACCAAGGCAACGAUGCAUAGCCGACCUGAGAGGGUGAUCGGCCACACUGGAACUGAGACACGGUCCAGACUCCUACGGGAGGCAGCAGUAGGGAAUCUUCCGCAAUGGGCGAAAGCCUGACGGAGCAACGCCGCGUGAGUGAUGAAGGUCUUCGGAUCGUAAAACUCUGUUAUUAGGGAAGAACAUAUGUGUAAGUAACUGUGCACAUCUUGACGGUACCUAAUCAGAAAGCCACGGCUAACUACGUG